rnacentral:tRNA from 1 species
GCUCUGGUGGCUCAAUCAGAUAGAGCGUUGGACUUCUAAUCCAAAGGUUGCGGGUUCAAGUCCCGAGCAGAGUA